rnacentral:rRNA from 1 species
AGUGAACGCCGGCGGUAGGCCUAACACAUGCAAGUCGAACGGCAGCACAGUAAGAGCUUGCUCUUACGGGUGGCGAGUGGCGGACGGGUGAGGAAUACAUCGGAAUCUACUUUUUCGUGGGGGAUAACGUAGGGAAACUUACGCUAAUACCGCAUACGACCUACGGGUGAAAGCAGGGGAUCUUCGGACCUUGCGCGAUUGACUGAGCCGAUGUCGGAUUAGCUAGUUGGCGGGGUAAAGGCCCACCAAGGCGACGAUCCGUAGCUGGUCUGAGAGGAUGAUCAGCCACACUGGAACUGAGACACGGUCCAGACUCCUACGGGAGGCAGCAGUGGGGAAUAUUGGACAAUGGGCGCAAGCCUGAUCCAGCCAUACCGCGUGGGUGAAGAAGGCCUUCGGGUUGUAAAGCCCUUUUGUUGGGAAAGAAAAGCAGCAGGUUAAUACCCCGCUGUUCUGACGGUACCCAAAGAAUAAGCACCGGCUAACUUCGUG